CGGGGCUCCUGGUUUUGAAUGAUUUUGCAGUUGCCUUUUAUCCUUCUCAUAGUUGAAAGAUGUGACUUUUGUUUUAUUCUGGUCUGGUUCUUUGCUACCGUGUCCCACAGGAGAUGAGAAUAAGGUUUUUCUCCUCUCGCUGCCUCCAGCCUGCAUCCCAGCACAGCCCAUCAUCCAGUGCCGCAGUGACCGUGUGCUGUCUGCUCUUUUGUUCUCUUCUGCGUGCUCUUCCCAGAGAGCUAGCUGGGUAUUUAAAAGAAGACUUCAUGAUAGACCAAAACAUUGAUGGGAAUUUGGAUUUAUCUUGUUAAUUCUUGGGUUUAGGAAAAAUAACGAAGGGGCAUUUUUAUUUGAGAUGCGUUGGUUGGUUCAGCAGAAAAUCAAAAAGCUUAAUCAUCAAAGCUCCGUAAUCCCAGAAAGCUGAUGUUUUUCUUGUUUUCUUCUUUCCUCGCUUAUGCUGGUUGCUGGUCCUAAUGCCAAGAUAUGUCUACAGCAAUUAAAUCUGCACACAUUUUUUUCAUUUGAAGCUGUUGCUUACAAACAAUUGAUUUAGGUUGCAUGUUCUCUAUGUCUGGGCUCCAGUCCCAGUAAGAUGUACCAGGCAGCAAGGACUGGAACCUUCCAGAUAGAUAUACCCAUUCUGCUUAAGAAUGAGAAACCAUUUAAAGAAAAUUAAAAAAAAAAAAAAAAAAGGCCUGGCCAAAACAUGUCCCAGCCUUUGGGAGAAGCAGGGGAAAGCAAGACGUGGGCACUCCAGCUGGAAGCAUUCCUGGAAUGUGCCUUGCGCCAGCGCCGCUGCCAGCGGGGGCAAGGAGUGGGGCUGGCCCCCCAGGGACAUGCGGCAACCAAAGUUUAUCUUUUGGGAGCAGGAGGGAGCCUUUUCUGGCAGCUUUCUCAUAGAGGGCAAUAUUCGGAGAGUGCUCAGAGCUUUGCUGAGCUGCCCCAGCUGAAUGCGCUUGGCAGAUGCUCGGUGCACAACGCCUGUUCCAGGGCUCGGAGGACACGAGGUGUCUCGCUCACAGCAGAGCCAGCCCCGUCCCGCAGCAGCAUCACUGUGAUCCAAUGUGGCACAAGCUUCAGUUACAUGCCUUGGAACAAGUAAGAGACCCUGUUUGCACCUGCAGAAGAGAUGGUCCACCUGCUGCGCUGCUGGCUCACCUGUGGGAGCUCAGGGGUGUUGGUGCAUCUGGAUGUCUGAGGUUGCUGCUCACAUUCAGGUGGGUGAUGGCCUGUAUUCUCUGUAUAAUACUGGUAGCAGGACUAGCUUUAGUUCUUCUUGUUCUCAGGAACACACAGCUUCAGAGAUGUUUUACUGGGAUGUUAUAGGCAGAGGGAAGGAAUUUGUGCUGAGUGAAGUUUCACUGACCCAGC
rnacentral:lncRNA from 1 species